rnacentral:rRNA from 1 species
AUUGAACGCUGGCGGCAGGCCUAACACAUGCAAGUCGAACGAGCGGCGGACGGGUGAGUAAUGUCUGGGAAACUGCCUGAUGGAGGGGGAUAACUACUGGAAACGGUCGCUAAUACCGCAUACCAUCAGAUGGGCCCAGAUGGGAUUCGAUAGUUGGUGGGGUAACGGCUCACCAAGGCGACGAUCCAUAGCUGGUCUGAGAGGAUGAACAGCCAGACUGGAACGGAGACACGGUCCAGACUCCUACGGGAGGCAGCAGUGUGGAAUAUUGCACAAGGGGCGCAAGCCUGAUGCAGCCAUGCCGCGUGUAUGAAGAAGGCCUUCGGGUUGUAAAGUACUUUCAGCGGGGAGGCGUUACCCGCAGAAGAAGCACCGGCUAACUCCGUGCCAGCAGCCGCGGUAAUUC